CUCAAAAGCCGGCAUCCGGCUGUGCGGGGCUCUUCCCAACCGGGGAGAAGACCGGGACACCCACCUGAUACGCACGAGGAAACCGAGGCCUAAGGCUGGAAGGGAGCUGCCCGAGGUCCCCCAGAGCACCAUGCUUGAUAGAUGACAUGGACCCUACCCUCAUGAGCUGACAGUCAGAAAACCCUCUCAGAGCAUCGGGCUCAGGAAUCUGCCUAAUGAAAGUGAGAGUUGUUGCAGUUUGAAAGGAAGAGGAGAUUUCUGGCUGAAACUUCACUCAACUCAGUCCCGAAAAUCCACAAAUGGCAGUGAGUUGGGGAAAAAAACUAUAAACUCACAAGGGAAGGGAAUUAAUGACUGUUUAAUGGUCACAGGGUUUCCUUUGGGGGUGAUGAAAAUGUUCUAGAAUUAGUGGUGAUGGUUGCACAUACAAAAAAAGAAAGAAACAAAUGGGAGAACCUGGACCCCUGCCUCACACCAUAUACAAAAAUUAACUCAAAUGGAUCAAAGACCUAAAUGUAAGAGCUAAAACUGUAAAACUCUUGGAAGAAAACAGGAAUAAAUCCACAUGACCUUGGAUUUAGCAAUGGAUUCUUACAUAUGAUGCCAAAAAAGCACAGCAACAAAAGAGAAAAUAGAUUAAUUUCAUCAAAUUAAAAACUUUUGUGCUUUAGAAGACACUGUGAAGAAAAUGAAAAGACAAUUGCAGAAUGGGAGAAAAUAUUUGCAAAUCAUGUAUCUGAUAAGGGUCUGGAAUCCAAGACUAUAUAAAGA